AUUGAACGCUGGCGGCAGGCCUAACACAUGCAAGUCGAGCGGAUGAAGGGAGCUUGCUCCUGGAUUCAGCGGCGGACGGGUGUGUAAUGUCUAUGAAUCUGCCUGGUAGUGGGGGAUAACGUCCGGAAAUGGGCGCUAUUACCGCAUACGUUCUUAGGGAGAAAGUGGGGGAUCUUCGGACCUCACGCUAUUAGAUGAACCUGGGUCGGAUUAGCUAGUUGGUGGGGUAAAGGCCUACCAAGGCGACGAUCCGUAACUGGUCUGAGAGGUUGAUCAGUCACAAUGGAGCUAAGAGACGGACGAGAACCCAACGGGAGGCAACAGUGGGAAAUAUUGGACAAGGGGCGAAAGCCUGAUACAGCCAGGACGCGGGUGUGAAGAAGGUCGUCGGAUUGUAAAGCACUUUAAGUUGGGAGAAAGGGCAGUAAGUUAAUACCUUGCUGUUUGAACGUACCAACAGAAUAAGCACCGGCUAACUUCGUG
rnacentral:rRNA from 1 species